rnacentral:ncRNA from 1 species
CCUCCCGCUUCUCCUCCCUGAGCGGGGCCGAAUCGUAUUGACGAUAAGGCGUUACUGCCCUGGAGAUACUCCCCUUUCUCCGGGGCUUUUUUU